AUAAGGACAAGGCGUGAUGAGGAGCGAAAUUAAAGUAGCGAAGGCUGCGACGUCACACUGCCGAGAAAAGCUUCUAGCCAGAGACGGUGCACCCGUACCGCAAACCGACACAGGUAGUCGAGGAGAGUAUCCUCAGGUGAGCGAGAGAACUCUCGUUAAGGAACUCGGCAAAAUGGCCCCGUAACUUCGGGAGAAGGGGCGCUGGUCGCAAGAUCAGCCGCAGUGAAAAGGCCCAAGCAACUGUUUAUCAAAAACACAGGCAUCUGCAAAAUCGUAAGAUGAAGUAUAGGUGCUGACACCUGCCCGGUGCUGGAAGGUUAAGAGGAGAGCUUAGCGCAAGCGAAGGUUUGAAUUGAAGCCCCAGUAAACGGCGGCCGUAACUAUAACGGUCCUAAGGUAGCGAAAUUCCUUGUCGGGUAAGUUCCGACCUGCACGAAAGGUGUAAUGAUUUGGGCACUGUCUCAACGAGAGACUCGGUGAAAUUAUAAUACCCGUGAAGAUGCGGGUUACCCGCGACAGGACGGAAAGACCCCAUGGAGCUUUACUGCAGUUUAAUAUUGGGUAUCUGUCAAGCAUGUACAGGAUAGGUAGGAGCCGGAGAAGAUAGGACGCCAGUCUUAUCUGAGGCGCUGUUGGGAUACUACCCUUGCUUGA
rnacentral:rRNA from 1 species